GCCCGCGGUGAUAGCGUGUUGAAUGCACCAGUUCCGAAUGAAUCACCGAGGUUAAAGGACGUUGCGCGUGGUUGGUAUCUGGAGAGGUAACCAUCUGAACAAUCGCAUUCUGCUGUCU
rfam:Asian citrus Psyllid, Diaphorina citri - Florida Strain, whole genome shotgun sequence.